rnacentral:rRNA from 1 species
GCUUAACACAUGCAAGUCGAACGGUGAAGCCCAGCUUGCUGGGUGGAUCAGUGGCGAACGGGUGAGUAACACGUGAGCAAUCUGCCCCUGACUCUGGGAUAAGCGCUGGAAACGGCGUCUAAUACUGGAUAUGAACCGUGGAGGCAUCUUCAACGGUUGGAAAGAUUUUUUGGUCAGGGAUGAGCUCGCGGCCUAUCAGCUUGUUGGUGAGGUAAUGGCUCACCAAGGCGUCGACGGGUAGCCGGCCUGAGAGGGUGACCGGCCACACUGGGACUGAGACACGGCCCAGACUCCUACGGGAGGCAGCAGUGGGGAAUAUUGCACAAUGGGCGCAAGCCUGAUGCAGCAACGCCGCGUGAGGGAUGACGGCCUUCGGGUUGUAAACCUCUUUUAGCAGGGAAGAAGCGAAAGUGACGGUACCUGCAGAAAAAGCGCCGGCUAACUACGUGCCAGCAGCCGCGGUAAUACGUAGGGCGCAAGCGUUAUCCGGAAUUAUUGGGCGUAAAGAGCUCGUAGGCGGUUUGUCGCGUCUGCUGUGAAAUCCCGAGGCUCAACCUCGGGUCUGCAGUGGGUACGGGCAGACUAGAGUGCGGUAGGGGAGAUUGGAAUUCCUGGUGUAGCGGUGGAAUGCGCAGAUAUCAGGAGGAACACCGAUGGCGAAGGCAGAUCUCUGGGCCGUAACUGACGCUGAGGAGCGAAAGGGUGGGGAGCAAACAGGCUUAGAUACCCUGGUAGUCCACCCCGUAAACGUUGGGAACUAGUUGUGGGGUCCAUUCCACGGAUUCCGUGACGCAGCUAACGCAUUAAGUUCCCCGCCUGGGGAGUACGGCCGCAAGGCUAAAACUCAAAGGAAUUGACGGGGACCCGCACAAGCGGCGGAGCAUGCGGAUUAAUUCGAUGCAACGCGAAGAACCUUACCAAGGCUUGACAUAUACGAGAACGCUGCAGAAAUGUAGAACUCUUUGGACACUCGUAAACAGGUGGUGCAUGGUUGUCGUCAGCUCGUGUCGUGAGAUGUUGGGUUAAGUCCCGCAACGAGCGCAACCCUCGUUCUAUGUUGCCAGCACGUAAUGGUGGGAACUCAUGGGAUACUGCCGGGGUCAACUCGGAGGAAGGUGGGGAUGACGUCAAAUCAUCAUGCCCCUUAUGUCUUGGGCUUCACGCAUGCUACAAUGGCCGGUACAAAGGGCUGCAAUACCGUAAGGUGGAGCGAAUCCCAAAAAGCCGGUCCCAGUUCGGAUUGAGGUCUGCAACUCGACCUCAUGAAGUCGGAGUCGCUAGUAAUCGCAGAUCAGCAACGCUGCGGUGAAUACGUUCCCGGGUCUUGUACACACCGCCCGUCAAGUCAUGAAAGUCGGUAACACCUGAAGCCGGUGGCCCAACCCUUGUGGAGGGAGCCGUC